ACCAUGCACCGAAGCUGCGGCAGCGACACUGUGUGUUGUUGGGUAGGGGAGCGUUCUGUAAGCCUGUGAAGGUGUGUCGUGAGGCAUGCUGGAGGUAUCAGAAGUGCGAAUGCUGACAUAAGUAACGAUAAAGCGGGUGAAAAGCCCGCUCGCCGGAAGACCAAGGGUUCCUGUCCAACGUUAAUCGGGGCAGGGUGAGUCGACCCCUAAGGCGAGGCCGAAAGGCGUAGUCGAUGGGAAACGGGUUAAUAUUCCCGUACUUGGUGUUACUGCGAAGGGGGGACGGAGAAGGCUAUGUUGGCCGGGCGACGGUUGUCCCGGUUUAAGCGUGUAGGUGUGUGUUCCAGGUAAAUCCGGUUCACUUUAACACUGAGGCGUGACGACGAGGCACUACGGUGCUGAAGCAACAAAUGCCCUGCUUCCAGGAAAAGCCUCUAAGCAUCAGGUAACAUCAAAUCGUACCCCAAACCGACACAGGUGGUCAGGUAGAGAAUACCAAGGCGCUUGAGAGAACUCGGGUGAAGGAACUAGGCAAAAUGGUGCCGUAACUUCGGGAGAAGGCACGCUGACACGUAGGUGAAGUGAUUUACUCAUGGAGCUGAAGUCAGUCGAAGAUACCAGCUGGCUGCAACUGUUUAUUAAAAACACAGCACUGUGCAAACACGAAAGUGGACGUAUACGGUGUGACGCCUGCCCGGUGCCGGAAGGUUAAUUGAUGGGGUCAGCGCAAGCGAAGCUCCUGAUCGAAGCCCCGGUAAACGGCGGCCGUAACUAUAACGGUCCUAAGGUAGCGAAAUUCCUUGUCGGGUAAGUUCCGACCUGCACGAAUGGCGUAAUGAUGGCCAGGCUGUCUCCACCCGAGACUCAGUGAAAUUGAACUCGCUGUGAAGAUGCAGUGUACCCGCGGCAAGACGGAAAGACCCCGUGAACCUUUACUAUAGCUUGACACUGAACAUUGAGCCUUGAUGUGUAGGAUAGGUGGGAGGCUUUGAAGUGUGGACGCCAGUCUGCAUGGAGCCGACCUUGAAAUACCACCCUUUAAUGUUUGAUGUUCUAACGUGGACCCGUUACCCGGGUUGCGGACAGUGUCUGGUGGGUAGUUUGACUGGGGCGGUCUCCUCCUAAAGAGUAACGGAGGAGCACGAAGGUUGGCUAAUCC
rnacentral:rRNA from 2 species